rnacentral:rRNA from 1 species
AAUCCGCAUCUGGCAGGUUACCUACGUGUUACUCACCCGUCCGCCACUCGUUGGCGACCAAAAUCUAUCAGGUGCAAGCACCAUCAAUCAAUUGGGCCAACGCGUUCGACUUGCAUGUAUUAGGCACACCGCCGGCGUUCAUCCUGAGCCAUGUAUCAAACUCU